GUAAAUAAUCGAAAGGAAUAUAAUAGGCCCUUCUGCUUAGCUUGUUGACAGAAGUAAUCAGACUUCUCCACAAAUGCUGAGCUCCUGGGAAUGAACUAGACCAUUGCAUCUUCAUCUUAGCAUCAUCAGAGCCUUGAAGUUCAGGUACAUGGCGAUAUUAUAAUUAGUAUGAAUGAAUAAACACAUUAAAAAUGCUUACCUAUUAUGUACAAAGAUAACAAAGACGGAGGAAGACA
rnacentral:lncRNA from 1 species